rnacentral:rRNA from 1 species
CAAUAGCGUAUAUUAAAGUUGUUGCAGUUAAAAAGCUCGUAGUUGGAUUUCUGGUAGGAGUGACCGUUCCGAACUUGAUUGUUCGUGUAUUGUGUUUUCUUCAGCCAUCCUUGUGGAGAACUUUUCUUGCAUUAAUUUGUAGGGAUUGGGACCCGCAUCGUUUACUGUGAAAAAAUUAGAGUGUUUAAAGCAGGCAAUCGCUUGAAUACAUUAGCAUGGAAUAAUAAGAUAGGACUUUGGUACUAUUUUGUUGGUUUGCAUACCAAAUUAAUGAUCAACAGGAACAGUUUGAGGAUAUUCGUAUGAACAUGUCAGAGGUGAAAUUCUUGGAUUUUGAUCAGACGAACUACUGCGAAAGCAUUUAUCAAGGAUGUUUUCAUUAA